rnacentral:misc_RNA from 1 species
AACGCACAUUGCGCCCUGUGGUAUUCCGCAGGGCAUGCCUGUUCGAGCGUCAUUUACCUACCUCAAGCUCUGCUUGGUGUUGGGCGUUUGUCCUGCCUUUUAGGCAUGGACUCGCCUUAAAUAUAUUGGCAGCCAUCACCCUGGCUUCGAGCGCAGCACAUUUGCGCCUGAUUUCUAUGUGGUGGCUCCCCAGAAGCGUAUUUUUUUGGCUGACCUCGGAUCAGGUAGGGAUACCCGCUGAACUUAA